UGCUCCUUCCGGCUGUUGCUGCUGUUGACUAUCAGGUCGGAGGUGAUUUCGGUUGGAACCUACCGCCAACUCCCACCUUCUUCUCCGAAUGGGCUAGUAAUAAGACUUUCUUUGUUGGCGAUAGGUUAAGGUUCAAUUCAAGUGCAAAUGAAACUCACAACUAUGCAAUGCCUGGGUCUCAAGCAGAGCUUGAUGGGUGCGUGAAGCCAGGAAUAGUUUUUGUGGGAAAUGUGUUUUCCUGUACUGGAUCGUCCUGGUCGUAGAUACUUUAUAUGUGAAGUUGGUAACCAUUGCAAUUUGGGCAUGAAAUUUGCUAUUGAUGUUAUGCCUAUACUUGGAUCGAUGCCACCUAAUGCUGCACUCAAAAUUGAUGCAUUUCCUAUGCUACUACUCUUCAUCACCAUGAUCACCAAUUUCUUGUUCAUCAUAUGAGAUAUUAAUUUAUGCAUCUCUCCAAAUUAAUAAUCUCAAUGUUCUAUUUUUCUAGAGUAUUUGAUAUCUUUCUACUUCAUUCAAUAAAUGCUAUUGUAACAGGAUUGUACAUGCUUGCAUUUUUUUUUCUCCCUCACAAUUCAAUAUAAUGUACGUUUCUUUGAUUUGUUUGUAGUGAUUUAUAAAUUUGGCAUUUUUAUGGCCUUCAAGA